CCUACGGGAGGCAGCAGUAGGGAAUCUUCCGCAAUGGACGAAAGUCUGACGGAGCAACGCCGCGUGAACGAUGAAGGCCUUCGGGUCGUAAAGUUCUGUUGUUAGGGAAGAACAAGUGCUAGUUGAAUAAGCUGGCACCUUGACGGCACCUAACCAGAAAGCCACGGCUAACUACGUGCCAGCAGCCGCGGUAAUACGUAGGUGGCAAGCGUUGUCCGGAAUUAUUGGGCGUAAAGCGCGCGCAGGCGGUUUCUUAAGUCUGAUGUGAAAGCCCCCGGCUCAACCGGGGAGGGUCAUUGGAAACUGGGAAACUUGAGUGCAGAAGAGGAAAGUGGAAUUCCAAGUGUAGCGGUGAAAUGCGUAGAGAUUUGGAGGAACACCAGUGGCGAAGGCGACUUUCUGGUCUGUAACUGACGCUGAGGCGCGAAAGCGUGGGGAGCAAACAGGAUUAGAUACCCUGGUAGUCCACGCUGUAAACGAUGAGUGCUAAGUGUUAGAGGGUUUUCCGCCCUUUAGUGCUGAAGUUAACGCAUUAAGCACUCCGCCUGGGGAAUCGGUCGCAAGCUGAAACUCAAAGGAUUGACGGCNGAGAGUGCGACGACGACGACGAGGGAGAGG
rnacentral:rRNA from 1 species